ACUCAAAUGAAUUGACGGGGGCCCGCACAAGCAGCGGAGCAUGUGGUUUAAUUCGAAGCAACGCGAAGAACCUUACCUAGACUUGACAUCUCCUGAAUAGCCGGUAACUCGGCGAAGCCCUUCGGGGCAGGAAGACAGGUGGUGCAUGGUUGUCGUCAGCUCGUGUCGUGAGAUGUUGGGUUAAGUCCCGCAACGAGCGCAACCCUUAUCAUUAGUUGCUACCAUUUAGUUGAGCACUCUAAUGAGACUGCCGUGGUUAACGCGGAGGAAGGUGGGGAUGACGUCAAAUCAUCAUGCCCCUUAUGUCUAGGGCUACACACGUGCUACAAUGGUGAGUACAAAGAGACGCAAUACCGCGAGGUGGAGCAAAACUCAAAAACUCAUCCCAGUUCGGAUUGUAGGCUGAAACUCGCCUACAUGAAGCCGGAGUUGCUAGUAAUCGCGAAUCAGCAUGUCGCGGUGAAUACGUUCCCGGGCCUUGUACACACCGCCCGU
rnacentral:rRNA from 1 species